UACGUAGGGGGGCAAGCGUUUGUCCGGAUUUAUUGGGCGUAAAGAGCGUGUAGGCGGUUUGGUAGGUCCGCUGUGAAAACUCGAGCUCAACCUCGAGACGCCGGUGGAAACCAUCAGACUAGAGUCCGGAAGAGGAGAGUGGAAUUCCUGGUGUAGCGGUGAAAUGCGCAGAUAUCAGGAAGAACACCCGUGGCUAAGGCGGCUCUCUAGUACGGUAACUGACGCUGAGACGCGAAAAGCGUGGGGAGCGAACAGG
rnacentral:rRNA from 1 species